CCUAAUCCUGGCAUACAUGUUCAGUAAUACCAAAAUGAGCCAUGAGAAGCCAGACAUGAGUGAGCAGCUCUCCACCUUGCGUUAGCUCCUUGGCAUGUUCAUUCCGUGGACAGUGACAUGCAGCAUAACAUAGCAUCUCUACCCACACAUGACUCAUCAUCUCCCAUUUCUUUUCAUUGUUCCAUUUUUCUGACUCCAGAGAUUGCAAAGACUUGGCCAGCCUACAGGCAUCGAGUAACACUGACUUGCUUCCAUCUCCUUUCGCUUUCAAUGGUGGAAUUUCAGUGUUCACUUGAAGAAGAAACCUUUUACAAGAUUGGAUAUUUCUAUCUUUUACAGUCUGAAAAAUCUUUGUGGCCUUAGCACAGCUGUCUCUAAAUCGGAUUUGUCCAAUUCCAGGAGGAAGCAUAAGGGGGCGCUUGAGCAGAAGAUACACCAUAUAAUCUGAUAGCAGCUUGCUUGCUUCACGGUUUGAGUUCUUGGCAGGGCUUGAUUUUUUGUUUAGAUCAGUAUCGUAGCAGAGAUCAGUUGCUAGGUGCCAGACUAGAAUGCACUCAUCGAAUUCUCCCUCAAUGCUCCAAUGUAAGGUAGAGAAACAUUUCAUCUCUUCUAGUGUCCGUUUUCCUCUGUCAGCACAUAAUUCCUUGGCUUCCUUAAUGCCUGGGGUAUGCUUUGAUUUCUUCUGAAGCUGUUCAAAGAUCAUUUUUUUCAAAUAUUUGGGGACAUCUGAAUUCUUAGAAGAACACUUCAACAUCUGAGAAAUGCGAAAGAACUUCCUAACCUCACUGAACUUGAUAGGCAAUUUUUUGAAGCUGUAACUUAUUAGAUUGUACCGUGCCAUGGAAUCAGACCAUCUCUUGUUUGCAGGGAAGAGAUAAGGUAGUCGGCAACUAGAUAUGGCUUCACAGAUAAGAGUCACUCGUGUUCUUUCUUGUUUGUUCAACCAAAUCGUGGUCCAGUCAGAGGAACACAGUAGAAUAAUAGAAUAGAUCUCCAGAACAAUUGCUCCAGCCAGCAACAACCAUGUUAUAAUCACGUCAGUAGUUGAGUACUCAUGCUUGUCAAUUAUCAAGAAGCCGAUGAAUGUUGUGUUGGGAAUUGUCCCAAAUUCCUAAUUAGUAAAUAUUCCUUUUUUGUAAAGAACAUUGUAUAGAAUAUUUCUAGGUUGAUAUAUUAUUGUAAUAUUAGACUUCCUUAUUCAAUAAGGAAGGUUGUUGGAAAUAUCUCUAUAAAUAUUCUGGGUCAUGAGGGGAAAAAGUUAUGAGAUGGAGAUGGGCCUGGGCCUAUAGAGACUAUACGAGGUGGAUAGAGAUGUGAGGAAGAACGGGAGGUACCUGGUGGAGCGAGAGGGCUCGUAGUAAGGUAUGGAUACAAGGAGUGGAGAAACAUGGGAUGUUUCGGGAACCCAAUAGUUGUAUCUGGUUUUAUCCUCUGUAAUAUUCUCUAUCGUAUAGUGGAAUUAUUCUCUCUCAUCCGUGGACGUAGACAUGGUUGGCCGAACCACGUUAAAACCUCGUGUACCGUAUGUGUGAUUGUUUUUCUUUGGCGUGUGUUUUCUCUAAUUUUUUUGUUUCUCACGGGUUGGGAAUUCGGUUUAAUUCCCUACAACUGGUAUCAGAGCUUGGGUUGAAGAUUUCUGGAAGAGUAAAAGAUCACAAAGCACACAAGAUGAAAACAAAAGGAAUUUUCACUGAAGGUGGAGUCAAUUGCUCUUUCGUGGUGAUAUGAUACAAAAAGGUUUGUGUCAUGGAGAGAUUGAAGAUUAACUUCAUGUAAUUUGGUCCAAGGUGGAGAUUGUUGGGAAUUGUCCCAAAUUCCUAAUUAGUAAAUAUUCCUUUUUUGUAAAGAACAUUGUAUAAAAUAUUUCUAGGUUGAUAUAUUAUUGUAAUAUUAGACUUCCUUAUAGAAUAAGGAAGGUUGUUGGAAAUAUCUCUAUAAAUAUUCUAGGUCAUGAGGGGAAAAAGUUAUGAGAUGGAGAUGGGCCUAUAGAGACUAUACAAGGUGGAUAGAGAUGUGAGGAAGAACGGGAGGUACCUGGUGGAGCGAGAGGGCUCGUAGUAAGGUAUGGAUACAAGGAGUGGGGAAACAUGGGAUGUUUCGGGAACCCAAUAGUUGUAUCUGGUUCUAUCCUCUGUAAUAUUCUCUAUUGUAUAGUGGAAUUAUUCUCUUUCAUCCGUGGACGUAGGCAUGGUUGGCCGAACCACGUUAAAACCUCGUGUACCGUAUGUGUGAUUGUUUUUAUCUUUGUGUUCUUGAACUAACAUCGUUGGCAUCAAAGCUUCCGCUGGCACAACAUGUUGAGAUUGUUGGAAAUAGACAGAUGAAACGGAGUAGGAGAUCGAAUUUAUCAUAAGCCUUCAUUGGCUUGGUAUAGAAGAUGUCAUACAUGAAUCCAAGCUCAAUCUCAAUCACUUGGAAAGCUUCUGUCCAAGAUAUAUUCUUGAAGUAGGACUUGCUUUGUUCAAGGGCUGUCGGCUCAAGGACGAGAUCUGUAAAUAAACGCUUGAACUUGGGGAAGAAUUUGUUAGCCUUUUGCAAAGGGACUGCAUCUGGGAUACUUUGGUUACUGGGGUCUGGCGAAGGUAUAUAGUCGUCAAUGACCUCUGGGCCUGGAUGACGGAUAAUGGAAUCUCUAAAAUGAUCCAUGCUUCCGGACUUUAGAAACAAAGUUUUCUCCCCAAACUUGAUCAGUCCUGUCACAAACAUUGAAUAGGUUAGAAUAUUGAGUAGUGUGCGCUUCCAGGACCUUAAAAAGAUGCUCAAUGCCCACAGAAACAUCAAGAGUAGAUGAAUGAAGGGUCUUAUCCAUAAUUCAUCAUCUGCCAAAGAAUAGGCUGUGAUGGUGUCCGGGCCUCCAAGGUGGUGUAGCAGAAAUGGUAGCCAAAAUGCCCUUAUCAUAUCGUUUUGUUGUGAUGAGUAAUCGUUUCCAGCUCCCAGGCACUUGAAGAGUACGCCAAUAAAAAUAUCAAACACCAAAUCUUUGGUUGUGUAAGCUAGCCAAAUGGUGAAUCUAAGCAACUUUCCGGGUGUAUAUUUUCUCCUGUUGCCCAGGAGGACGAGCUCAAUUUGUAAGAGGAGGCUGACUAAAACCAAUCCACGGAGUAGCCACUCAUUAAGAAAUCUAACCACAAUUACAGGCAAAAUUUCUUGUACAGUCCUCCUAUUCAUGAUGAUCAUGCAGCCAAUACCUGAAAAUAUAAAAAUAAAUUAUCAGAUUAAUACAGAAGAUCUGAAUGUCAAUUGAUCAUUAGAAAUGACAGAGUGAAUUGAUGAGGAACAGAAUUCAGCAUGCUCAAAACCUAAACCUUUUGACACAUCUCAAUCAUACAAUACUACUAUGCUCUUUUCUUGUAGAUAUUACUUGCUCUUGACCCAAUGGACCUUUAAAGCUUUAAAAGUAGGAUGUAUCCAUAUACAAUAUAGAGAUCACAAUGAUUUCCGUAUAAACACAACAUCCUCAUUGUUCCAUGGGAUUGCAGGGUGGAUAGAAAAAGUUUUACAUUAGGGUCGAGGUUAGGGAUCACAUGUAGAGAAGCAUUGCAUGUGGAGGGAUUCGCUCCUCUCCAUAUAAAUAUUAUUUGCUCUAGAUGCAAUGCAUGUCUAUAAGAUUAAGAGAAGUUGUACACUACUACAAACUUUUUUCCCUCUAAGACGGUAUCACACUAUUAAUAAUUGACUAAGUAAAAAAUUCAAAAUUUUGCAUCCUCUCUUGCUUUCAACACAGUGAUUAGCACAUCUAAGCAAUUUCUUCCAUGAGCACAUUUUUGGAAAUGGGGAGUGAUUUUUGUCAGAGGGUGUUUCUGAUUUCAAAUAGUAAAACAAAAUGCACUUCUAAUUUCAAUUUUCAAAUAAUGAAGGAAACUAAUUACUUCACUACAAACCAGAUUCCGACUUGCUUGCCUAGAAAAUAGACACUGACACAACUGCAUGACAUUACAACUACAUAGAAAAAUGAUUUUCUCAGCAACCAAACGGAGCUCAACCCAACACCCAAACUCAUUCAGAAUCCCACAAACUUACAAAUAACAAUAACCUCAAACUCAUUAGUAUUCAUAUGGGCCAACAAACAAGGAUUAAACCGAAGCAAAUUUGUAUGUAAUCUAAGCCAAAGAAAACAUACCCACUUUUCUCCGAGUCUGUGAAUGUGAUGUGAGGGAGAGAGACACUAAGAAGUGCCAUGGGAGGUCAAGAGUGCAAGCAGAAAUAGUGAGUGAAGUCUUCCCUCCGUCAUUUUUUUUUGGUGUGGCAUCUCAGUGAGACCUACUUCUUGGUUUAAAAUUGCAGAUACGGUCUCUCUGUUAUUACUUUAAUUAGCGCGGGUCUGGAGUUUUGUGUAGUAACGUGGAUGUCAUUUAAAAUAGAAAAAGAUGCAAAAAACUCUUGGAUUUUACGUUGGUCCCAAGCGUGUUCCCGGUGGCCAGAUGUUUGUCCGAGAUUGACAAAAUCUAGGUGACCCUAUUAAUUUUUAUAUAUUAACAUUAAGAUUUGAACUAAUUAAACUCAAAGUGGGAAUCUAUGGCUUGUUUUGAGUUGAUUACAAAAAUCGAUCCUUCAUUUUGAUCUGUUUUGAUUCCUCUAGAUAACAAAAAUGAAUUUCUUUUCUUAUUAAAUCAAGUCCUAAUCAUAAAGCCAAACAUUAUAUGCCAAAACACUCAAAUAAUUUUAUCAUUAUAGGGAUGACAAUGGGCAGUUCUUCGGGGUACCCGUUUCGUCUUGCUCCUGGCGGGAAGGGUUUAGGAUAAAGAUAAAUAGAUUUGAGAUGAAUUUAAGAAAUUUUUAAAAAUUUAGGAUGAGUUUGAGGCGGGUUCAGGUAGGACUUUGUCCCACCCCAUCCUGAGUACAUACGAUGCCUUUAAAUUAUAAUGUUAUAUAUCCUUAAAAUCAUAAUAUUAAUGUUGUUAUUUGUAAUGUCAUAAUCACAUGUUAUGUUUUGUUUUCAAAAAGCACUAAGAAAAAAAACUUGUUAAGGAAAUUGAUUUUCUAUAUUUGGUUGUCCUAUGAAAAAUAUUAAAUAAAAUUAAAUAAAAUUAAAAACUUUUACAUUUUUAAAUAAUUCAAUCUUGAUAUUGAAAAGUUCAAAUAAAUGAAAUGAAUUUGAAGUGACAUAAAAUAUUUAUUGACUUUAAAUCUGAUUUUUAUUUUCUUUUAUUUUUUUUCCUUUAUUUUUUUUCCUUGCAUUUUUAUAUAAUCAAACAAAGUCAUAGUGUAUUUAUUUAGGAAGUUUCUCUGGCAUGAUUUCUUUAUGAUCUUUCUAUGUUCAUUAUUUUUUGGGAUAAUGGAUUCCCACCUCAAGUAUUAAGAUAUAUUUAUUUAAGUUUUCAAAGUGAAUAAAUUAGUGAGGACUUGAUUAUUUGUAUCCUUUGGAGGGUUUUUCUAUAUUAUAUUUGGUGUUCUUUUUUUGAUUGAAUGUUUUUGAAUUAUUAUUAUUCAUUAUUAUUAGGAUGUUAUUAUUGUUGAGAGGGAAAAUUUUGAUCUUUAAUUCAUUUAAUUACUAAUCCAUCCAGGAUUAACCCAUGAAAGAAUUUGAAUUGGACUAGAUAUAAAAAUUUAUUUCAUAAUUUAAAAAUUCUCUUGAAAACAAAGAAUUUAAAAACGUUGAGAAAAAAAACAUGAUUUUUCUUUACAUAUUAAUUAAGUACAGUUGGUUGACACAUGUUUUUAUUUAUUUAUUUAUUUUUAUAUAUAUAUUUUUUAAUGAAGUUAAUUAGUUCAACUCUCUUGAGUGCAUGUUACGUCUGUUAUCAUUAUAAUCUAAAAAUUUAAUUUAAAUUAUUAGAUAAUAUGUCAACAAAGCAAAGAAUCUUCGCAAUGAGAAAACCUUAAAUUUAGUAUCUUCAUAAUAUUAAAAUUGAAAAAUAAAGUUGUGGGCCUAUCAAGUUGAUUUAUAGCCAUUCAAUAUAGUGUGAAUGUUAAUGGAUAGUGAAUUUUAAUAAUAUUGGAAUUAGUAGAUAGAUAAAGUUGGAAGAUAUAUGAAUUUUAGAGUAUGUUUGACAAUAUUUCUAGGAAACAUUUUUAAUAUUUCUAAUGGUUAAAAGUUUUUAUCAAAAGAAUUAUUUUCAAAUGCUAAAAUAACUAGAAAUAGUACUUCCCAAGAUCACUACUAAAUAAUCUUCAUCAUCAAUUCUUUUGGAUCUCAACAUUGUUAUCAACAUGCUAAAAUUGAAGGAUUUUUUUCUUUCCUGACUUUCUAAAUGAAGUCGUAUUCCUUUAACUAUCAUGUGAAGCCAACUUAGGCUAAAUUUUAGUUUAUAUUUCCAAGGGAUGGUUAUUCAUAUACUAAAAUUAAUGAGUGUAUACCAUAUGAAUGGUUAUUGAUAUGCUUAUGACAUUUUUAAAUUAAUACAUCAAACUCAUGGGUAUGGAUCUUUCUCACUCACGUGAUAUCAUCUUCAUUCAUCUACCACUAUUAAAUAAUAUUUUAUUACUAAGAGAACAUGCGUCCUAGGCCUUCUAUCACCGGGAUAAUCCAAUGAUAAAAAUAUAAAAGAAAUAAAGAGAGAGAAAGACAAACAAGGUACAUUUAACUAUUGAACUGCCAAUUUUCUUAAAAGAAGUUUAGGGUUUAUUUGACAACUGUUUUCAAGAAUAAUAUUUUGUUCUCCAGAAAAAAAAAAAAAAAAAACAUGUUAGAUAACUAGAAAUUAUUUUCUGUUUUAUGUUAUUAAGAAUAAAAAACACAUUAGGCUUUUAACAAUUUUAUUUUUUUUGUGGUUCAGAGUCAAGAGGGUUGAGAAGUUUCAUACUCUUCAUUGUUGUCAGGUUCUCCUUUGCUUAGUAUUUCAAUUAAUCACUACUCUGAUUACUUAGCAGAAAUGAUACAAUUUAACUAGACAUAGCUUCUGGGGUGUGGGUUCAGCUAAUAAAACAUACCCUUUUUUGAGGUGAAAUUUGUUUUGAACUUGUAAUAAUAUAAUUUCAAGAUUGUGGUUCUCGCAAUAAGCUUCGAGUGUGAGAUCAAUUAAUCAAUCUGAUCAUCUGUGAAGUCUAUUGUUGAACAAUCAAACUAAGCUUAAACGAAUAAGAUCGAGAAGGCUAUAAACACAGAAAUGGUGAAAGCUUCCCACCAAGCUUUCACCAAGAUGUAUUCUGGAACAAGAAUGAACCAGAUCUGCAAAGAAGUGCCUGAAAGUGUCAAAAAUGUAGUAAGCCUCAUGCAGCAUGGCUGACUUGGGGGUAAUGCUGCUCCCUGCAUCUGUAUUAGAAUGACCUACUGCAGUUUCCUCUAAUAUCACUGUCCCCAGCUGUGAAAUCUUAAUGUCUAAUGCCAUUUGAACUAUACUUGUCCGUGAAUUUUAGAUAACUAGGCACUGGGUCAGGACAAGUUAGCAAGACUUCUCAUGUCUUUUUUAAUAAAAAGAUAAUUACCCUUUUUUAAUUAUUUAUCAUGAUUUGGUGGUAAUAGAGCCCUUGUAUAUAUGAGGAUGUGAAGUAGAGGUCCUAUUUCAUGAAGAAUAAUGAGUCGGUAAGAUCAAUCAAGGUGUAGACCCCGCAUUUCGGCUCAUGCACUUCAACUCGAUGACGAGCUCUUUUUUUAUUUUAAAAUGAUUUUAUUGAUUUAUAAAAUGACUUGGAGUCGCUAUUUAUUUUUGUUUAAUUUUUAAAAAGGUAAACAAAAUAAGAAGGAAAACCCUAAGUAUGAUUUCUUAAUUUAGAAAAGGUGGUCUGUGAAAAACCGGAUUAGGCUCGGGGGUCAAGUUACUUAUCGGAAAGGUACGGUAAAGACCGUAGCACCUCUCUAAGUCCCUAAAAACGGGUCUCUACUAAUAAAAUAAAGCAAUCAUGACAAUUAGUAAGAAGAUCAAUGGAUAUCCAAAAAGAUCAUGCACAUACGAGAAUCUAAACAUGCAUAAAAAUGACCAGAGUGAGAAUGAGAGUGUAUCUUAACAAUGAGCCACAAUGUGCUAUCAAUAAAGGAGGUUAGUGCACAAAUAAUGGACACAAAACAUAGCUCACAUGCCACUAAAUCGAAUACGAAAUCAUCAUAUAUCACAAUUCAAUCAAAUUGAUUUUCAAAGGAAACAUCCAAUAAUGUUGGGCCCCCACCAAAGCCCGUUUUAAAUCCAUUCCAUAAAUUUCAUCAUUUGGAAUUACAAAAUUGAAUUAAUGCUUAUUUUAAAACCUUUCAAAAAUCAUGGAAUUUAUGAAAAUUGCUUGCCAUAAGGGAAAAUGGCAGCAAAUUUUUAUUAAAAAGAAAGAAAUUUUUGGAACGUAAAAAAAAUAAAAAUAAAUUCUAAGGAUGAACGAGAAUUUGAAGGAUCAAGAUUAUUAAAAGAACUAACAUUUUGAAGGUAAUUUGCAAAAUGGGACUGAGAAAACAUUUUUUUUUAAAAUCAAAGAGAAAAAAAAAGUAAAGGGAGAUGACACAUGCAUUAAGGUGGCCAUGCGGACCAUUGCUCAACACAAGAGGCUAUAGCCAUUCCCUUGUCCUUACUGCCAUAUCAGUGUGACCUAUACUGCAUGGGGCGUCUGAACCUUGAAACCCUUUCAUAACCAUAUGAAGGAUAGAAAAGGGGGCCCAUGCCUGGAAGGUCUUCGUCUUCAACUGGCGGCCAUGCAAUCCCGAUUCAUUUAAAAGAGGAGCAUUCUGAACACUCUAUCUCAACAAACUCCACAUAAGCAAAUCCUUUACUAAUCCAAAUAGAAUAUUAGUUGAGAGCGUUCUUUCAUGGGCCUCAUCCACGAUCACCACGCUGUAGCUUGCCAGAUCUGGUUCACCAAGGAAUUCUCUCAAUAACAUUCCAUCAGUCAUAUAUUUUAGAACCGUCUUUUCUGUCGUGCAAUCUUCAAAACGGAUAGAAUAGCCAACCUCAUGCCCAAGUUUAACGCCCAUUUCCUGAGAAACUCGAGCUGCAACACUCAUAGCAGCAACUCGCCGUGGCUGGGUACGUCCAACCUUUCCACGCUUUGUGUACCCAGCUUCAUGAAGAUAUUAAGGUAUCUGUGUGGUUUUCCCAGAACCAGUCUCCCCAACAAUAACAAGAAUCUGAUGAUCAUCUACUGCUUUGAGCAAUUCAUCUCGAUAUGGAUAGAUAGGCAACAUUUUUCUAUCUUCCUGAAGUUUCUCUAAUUCUGAUUUUGCGACAUAAUCAUCAUGAGGCUCAGCAAAUAAACCAUCUUCAAACUAGUCACCAUCCAUCACAGAUGCCUUGAUGAAUUCAAUCUGGUCCUCAAAUACAAACUGACAGUCAUCUGACUUUUGGUUUUUAUCUUUUAAACCAAAUUUUAAGGUUGCCUUUCCAAUUUGAUGCUCCUCCCAUGCCUCUUGUUCUGCAAAUGGAUUAAUCUUAUCAUUUGCACUUGAGUCCCUAUAACACUGCAAAGCCACAGCAAUUCUCGUCUCCUGAUUUACACCCCCUUCCUGAUCAUAAGCUUCAAACAUUCUAUACUCAUUUAUAUCAUCAGUUUCUUCUGACCUCUUCUUCACAAGAUCGUAUAUUUCCCUUUUGUACCUUAGUUCACGCUGUUCUGCUUCAAUCAACUUCACGCCAUCAAGGAGAUAUUGUUCAUCUUCUAUAUCAUCUCUAAGCUCCUCCAGUUUCUUUUGCUCCAUUUUCUUUAAAUAUUCUUGUCUUGAAACUUUUCUUAAAGCCGAAAUGUCAUCUUCCUCCAUAGCAUUAGAUCUCCGGAUUGCUUCUUCUUCCUCCUUCCGUGAUAACUUUGGCUCUGUUAACUUUCGUGUCCCUGCUGCAUCCCGUUGUCUUAUAUUCUGCUAUUGUGUUAACGAGCAUCGGAUUGUGGCCCUUCCGGUAUCGAGCCAGCCAUGAAUCAUCAAACACCACACCCUCCAUGCAUUUUCAUUCAUUCCCCACCGACCCAUCACCCUAUCAGCACGUGGAACCCUCUUAGUCAAGGAUGAUACUGCUACGGCCAAUUAAGCUUCGCUUCUUGGCUGUGGCUCUCGACCUUUGGCUGAACUGGAUUCAUAGGUUCAAUAAACACAGUGAACGAAAUAGCUAGGCAAUCCCAUUCCCAAUGGAAGAUGCAGCCAUGGUUUCCCAUGCGAAGUUGUGGGAAGCUUUACUGGGAUCAUAGAACAAGGACGCAACACCCAUAGCUACCUUCAAAAUGUCACUGACAAGACUGAAGUUGCUGAAUCAUUUGGAUGUUCUUGUGAUCAAUUCUGCUCUUAGAUGACAUCCAAACUUUGAGAAUAUGUAUCCCUUGUAAGAAUUCACAGCCAGCCCUGAUUUCUGUCUCUCUCACAGCCAAUGUAUUGAACAAGAUCCAGGAAUAAAAGGCAACCACAGAAGAGAAGAAACCAUAGGAACAGAGCAUGAAAGAAAACAAAAUAAAAAAAACAUCCUCAAAUGAGGCUUCACAUGGGUCAUCAGUGAGCCCUCUGAUUAAGUGAGAAAAACCACAUCAAAUACGACUAUUGGCAUGAUUCUUAGGUAUUUCGCAAUAGAGGCAAGGUAUAUUAAGAUCAACAAUGGCAAACACAAGUUCAAGAUUAUAUAUCAACAAGCAACAAGUGGCCUUCAUCAUUCACCCCAAGCAAACCAAUAAAUAUCCAAAUAUCGACAAGAAAUGUAGAGGGAUAGUAAGGAUCCGAAUCAAACAAUAAACCUGUUGCAUUCAUACCUGAGAGUACCCUUCUUUAGUAAAGCUCUGUUCAGCUUCAAACACCUUAAAUCCACCUCCAAUGCCAACGAAACUAAUGAAACAGUGGAGCCAUCCUCCUCUACUCUCCAAAUAUACAGCUCUCCCUCUCUCUCACUCUCUGGUUAUCUCUCAAAACUUUUCUUCCAAGGUCCCACGAAAACUCUCCCUGUUACUCCCCUCCAGCUUGCUACCUCCAAGCUAAACGAAAUCCCCCUCAAAAUAUCUCUCUCAAUCAGCAAGAAAAAAGCACCCUUUCACCUACAGCUGGCUACCCUCAGAACAGAAUACACGCUCCUGCAGAAUCUCCCUUUACAAGUGUCCCUUUUCCAUUAGCUCAUUCAAAACACUAGCUGAUUCCCUAGCAGCCGAUCAGGAGGCAGCACAUGGCUCUUUGAGAGCCCUCCACCUGGCAAAAAUGAGCUGCAGGAACAUGAAAAAAAGGAGCCCCAAAAAUGGGGGUCUACACAAGGUCUCAUCAUGAUGGGUUCAAAGAUGUAGCUCAUUUUGAGCUCAACAUUUAGAGAUUUAGAGCAUAAGGUCUUGUGUAAGGUUGAAAAUGCAUUCCUUUUCUUUACAUUAGACAAUUGCUUAGAACAACAUCUGAGACACCAUUGUUCUGUCUAAGCUUUUAUUGGAGAUGAAUGAAGCAAUGGAUGUGAGUAGGUCUUUCAAUGUUCUGUUCUACUUCUUUGUUGACAUCAUGUAGAGAGGCCUAAGAAUUUUUACAAAAAUAAUAAUAAUAAUAAUAAUAAUAAUAAUAAUAAUUAUGAAAGUGAAUGUAAUUUAUAAAUUUGAAGUAGUCUUAGAGCUGUUUAGAUGAUUUGUGGCAUAUCAAACUUAUUGACUAGGGUAUUGGCCUUUCUCUUAAUUUUCAUCAGUGUUCCUAAUCGAUAUCCACCUCUGUCCUUGCAUGGCCUUGCAAAAUCUUGAAAUGUUCAGCUAUACCAAAAUGAGGCAUUAGAAGCCAAAUAUGAGUGAGCAGCUCUCUGCCUUGCCAUGAUGAUUCCAUCAAGCCAUUUUUUGAGCACUCACAGAACUUGGUUAACUGUGGGAACUUUAUUUUUGCCUUUAUUCUCCCCUGCUGCAGGCUAAACCUCAUGGUUCUGAGACCAAAGAAUUUUGUGAGUGUGGAAAAAAAAAAAACAAAAUUGGGGUAAGAUGGACUGGAGUGGGUUAAACAAAAAGGAUCAAUUAAUAAAUCCGAGUCAACCUCAGUCUAUAGGUUAUAGCCUUUUUCAAACCUCUUGGAUUUCUCUCGCCUAUAAUGUCAUGGAAAUUUCUUGAUGAUUUCUUCUAAACUAGGGUCUUGUAUGCUGUAGCAUAAGCCCUACUUCUAUAUCAUUAAUUCUGUAAAGGAACCACUAGAUCAUAUAACAAAUUCUGACCCUCUUCUUAAUUGCUCUUCUAGGUAGCAACUUUAGUGAAAUUGCAUUAAAAAAAUUCUACAUGGCUUGUAACUUGGCAAUCACCAUUGGAGACAGUUUGUUUAUUUGUUUGUUUUGGCCAUACCAUAGAUUUGUUCACUUGUGAGAGUCCAUUGUCAUAAGAAACAAAAUAGUAGGCUUGUCGCUUGUGCUCCCUGGCUACAUUUCAACAAAAUGUUAAGAUUGCUUUCAAAGGGGACGAAGUGAAGCCCUUUUUCUAAUCUUUUAUAGCUGUGUUGUUGGGGAAUAGUGUCAUGGUGUGAAAUGAACUACUUAAAUCAUUAAUUAAUAAGGUUAUUCCCUGAGAAAUAUGCAAAUCAAUGGUUUUAGUUGAAGGAAUAUUCCACAUGUGACUGGGAUUAUGGGAAAUGUCAAGGAAGCUAUCCCUUUCUCUCCGGCUACAAAAUAAAUUUGACGGCUCCAAUUAUUUUCUCUAGCUACAACCUAAAUUUUGCAGUUCCAAUCCCCAAGAUUUGAGUCUUGUAGAAGCCUCUUUCUCCUCAGUAUUAUGGGAAAAAGAGGAGGUAGAAUGGAGGAUCCAUGGCCAAGGUCAUUCUCUCAUGGGUGGCACAGAAGCUGUGUGUUCUGGUCAUUCAAGAAUCAGGCCCUUUGAAUGGACUAGAAGAAAAGGUCAGACAUCAAUUUUAUAUCUUUCACAGGAGGAAUCUCUCCCCUUUAAUUUGCCCAAUAUAGAUAUUUUUCCAUUUCAUCCAUACCAAUCAUUUCUUUUAUUUUCUUCCUUAAUUAUUAACUACUUUUAUGCAAAUGGAUGUAAGAAUGUUUCAGGUUCCCCUUAAAUAAAACAAAGCACAAAUGGGAGUAACAGUUCUAAGGAAAGACUCCACCUUUAAAAUGAAACUUAAAGCAAAUGCAACAAUGGUGGAACUCUCACCACCUCAAUAGAAACUCCUUUGAAUAAAAGGAUUGAAAACCAUUUUUGAGAAAAAAGGAAUUUCCAUGGAAAUGGAGAAAAUCGACCCAAUCUCUUUGUCAUCAGCAUUCCUAAUUCACAACCAGCCUAAUCCUGGCAUACAUGUUCAGUAAUACCAAAAUGAGCCAUGAGAAGCCAGACAUGAGUGAGCAGCUCUCCACCUAGCCUUAGCUUCUCGGCAUGGUGAUUCCUUGGACAGUGACAUGCAGCAUAACAUAGCAUCUCUACCCACACAUGACUCAUCAACUCCCAUUUCUUUUCACAAUUCCAUUCCUCUUCUGUCUCCAGGGAUUGCAAAGACUUGGCCAG
rnacentral:lncRNA from 1 species